GAGAAGUACGUGCACGCAGUUCCUAUCAGUUAUUGAUUCUGUCGUUCAUACCUUGGAAAUAUAUGUCUAGUGUCACAGACAGAAGACAACGGAGACAGAGAUAACGUCAAAAUAACAGAGUUUAUUGACAAUGGAUGGUGAAAUGAAGUGAGCGAGGGUGCAACAGUGCUGGUGAAGCUCCAACACACACACACAGAAUCACUGGAAGCAGACCCACGAGGAUUAGUUCCUUGGAUGGACGAUGAACUUGGAGAACUACUGAAUAAAGAGAGAUAAAGAGUCAGAGCCACUGGAAGAGACAGAAGUUGACACUCCCUGAUACUGCUGUGCCCUGCCAGGCUCCUGGGUCAUGCCUCAUUUACUGCACAGAGCACACACAAGGACACGCACAAAGACAAACUUGUCCUGCCUUCACCUGCACUUUUA